rnacentral:rRNA from 1 species
UUUGAUCUCGAGGAGCUCGAGCUCCCUUUCUCCGAGGAGGAAAUUUGGUCUGCGGUCAAGGCGCUCCCCCGUGGAAAAGCCCUGGGCCCCGAUGGAUUCACAGCCGAGUUCCUUGUGGCGUGCUGGGACACGAUCAAAGCCGAUAUUUGCGAGGUAUUCGACAAGUUCUACUCCAGGAACGGGCGCAGCCUCCAGCGCCUCAACGAAGCCCUAAUCACGCUGAUCCCAAAGUAG